rnacentral:rRNA from 1 species
AGCAGCCGCGGUAAUUCCAGCUCCAAUAGCGUAUAUUAAAGUUGUUGCAGUUAAAAAGCUCGUAGUUGAAUUUCGGGGUUCUUCCGUUGGUCGGGCUAUCCAGUCUGUACUAGCGUGUAGAAUUCCUACCUUCUGGGGAACCAUCAUGUUAUUAAUUUAGCGUGGUGGGAAACCAGGACCUUUACCUUGAAAAAAUUAGAGUGUUCAAAGCAGGCUUACGUCUGAAUACAUUAGCAUGGAAUAAUAGAAUAGGACGGUGGUCCUGUUUUGUUGGUUUCUGAAUCACCGUAAUGAUUAAUAGGGAUAGUUGGGGGCAUUAGUAUUCAAUUGUCAGAGGUGAAAUUCUUGGAUUUAUUGAAGACUAACUUCUGCGAAAGCAUUUGCCAAGGAUGUUUUCAUUAAUCAAGAACGAAAGUUAGGGGAUCGAAGACGAUCAGAUACCGUCGUAGUCCUAACCAUAAACUAUGCCGACUAGGGAUCGGACGAUGUUAAAUUUAUUGACUCGUUCGGCGCCUUACGG